rnacentral:misc_RNA from 1 species
GCUAGUCUAUAGAAUAGUAGGAAGAUUUUGUAUUAUUUCAUAUCAUACUUUUAUAUGCUGCCUUUAUAUAUUGCAUCACAUGAAGUUCUCAAAAGGGAAAGACAUGGAAAUAUUCAGUAUCAUACAAUUGCUCUACACUCAUCAGAUUAAUGAUUACACCCUUAUAUAUAUAUAUAUAAUGUAGUACUCUUAAUGGGGCAGUAA